CGGGAAAGUAGCUUGCUACUUUUGCCGGCGAGCGGCGGACGGGUGAGUAAUGCCUGGGAAAUUGCCCAGUCGAGGGGGAUAACAGUUGGAAACGACUGCUAAUACCGCAUACGCCCUACGGGGGAAAGCAGGGGACCUUCGGGCCUUGCGCGAUUGGAUAUGCCCAGGUGGGAUUAGCUAGUUGGUGAGGUAAUGGCUCACCAAGGCGACGAUCCCUAGCUGGUCUGAGAGGAUGAUCAGCCACACUGGAACUGAGACACGGUCCAGACUCCUACGGGAGGCAGCAGUGGGGAAUAUUGCACAAUGGGGGAAACCCUGAUGCAGCCAUGCCGCGUGUGUGAAGAAGGCCUUCGGGUUGUAAAGCACUUUCAGCGAGGAGGAAAGGUUGAUGCCUAAUACGUAUCAACUGGGACGUUACUCGGCAGAAGAACCACCGGCUA
rnacentral:rRNA from 1 species